UGCAGUCGACGGCAGCACAGUAAGAGCUUGCUCUUAUGGGUGGCGAGUGGCGGACGGGUGAGGAAUACAUCGGAAUCUACCUUUUCGUGGGGGAUAACGUAGGGAAACUUACGCUAAUACCGCAUACGACCUUCGGGUGAAAGCAGGGGACCUUCGGGCCUUGCGCGGAUAGAUGAGCCGAUGUCGGAUUAGCUAGUUGGCGGGGUAAAGGCCCACCAAGGCGACGAUCCGUAGCUGGUCUGAGAGGAUGAUCAGCCACACUGGAACUGAGACACGGUCCAGACUCCUACGGGAGGCAGCAGUGGGGAAUAUUGGACAAUGGGCGCAAGCCUGAUCCAGCCAUACCGCGUGGGUGAAGAAGGCCUUCGGGUUGUAAAGCCCUUUUGUUGGGAAAGAAAAGCAGUCGAUUAAUACUCGGUUGUUCUGACGGUACCCAAAGAAUAAGCACCGGCUAACUUCGUGCCAGCAGCCGCGGUAAUACGAAGGGUGCAAGCGUUACUCGGAAUUACUGGGCGUAAAGCGUGCGUAGGUGGUUGUUUAAGUCUGUUGUGAAAGCCCUGGGCUCAACCUGGGAAUUGCAGUGGAUACUGGGCGACUAGAGUGUGGUAGAGGGUAGUGGAAUUCCCGGUGUAGCAGUGAAAUGCGUAGAGAUCGGGAGGAACAUCCAUGGCGAAAGGCAGCUACCUGGACCAACACUGACACUGAGGCACGAAAGCGUG
rnacentral:rRNA from 1 species